rnacentral:rRNA from 1 species
AGUGGCGGACGGGUGAGUAACGCGUAAGAAUCUAACUUCAGGACGGGGACAACAGUGGGAAACGACUGCUAAUACCCGAUGUGCCGCAAGGUGAAACCUAAUUGGCCUGGAGAAGAGCUUGCGUCUGAUUAGCUAGUUGGUGGGGUAAAGGCCUACCAAGGCGACGAUCAGUAGCUGGUCUGAGAGGAUGAGCAGCCACACUGGGACUGAGACACGGCCCAGACUCCUACGGGAGGCAGCAGUGGGGAAUUUUCCGCAAUGGGCGAAAGCCUGACGGAGCAACGCCGCGUGAGGGAGGAAGGUCUUUGGAUUGUAAACCUCUUUUCUCAAGGAAGAAGUUCUGACGGUACUUGAGGAAUCAGCCUCGGCUAACUCCGUGCCAGCAGCCGCGAUAAUACGGGGGAGGCAAGCGUUAUCCGGAAUUAUUGGGCGUAAAGCGUCCGCAGGUGGUCAGCCAAGUCUGCCGUCAAAUCAGGUUGCUUAACGACCUAAAGGCGGUGGAAACUGGCAGACUAGAGAGCAGUAGGGGUAGCAGGAAUUCCCAGUGUAGCGGUGAAAUGCGUAGAGAUUGGGAAGAACAUCGGUGGCGAAAGCGUGCUACUGGGCUGUAUCUGACACUCAGGGACGAAAGCUAGGGGAGCGAAAGGGAUUAGAUACCCCUGUAGUCCUAGCCGUAAACGAUGGAUACUAGGCGUGGCUU